rnacentral:rRNA from 1 species
AUUGAACGCUGGCGGCAGGCCUAACACAUGCAAGUCGAGCGGAUGAAGGGAGCUUGCUCCUGGCUUCAGCGGCGGACGGGCGAGUAAUGCCUAGGAAUCUGCCUGGUAGUGGGGGAUAACGUCAGGAAACGGGCGCUAAUACCGUAUACGUCCAGAGGGAGAAAGUGGGGGAUCUUCGGACCUCACGCUAUCUGCUGAGCCUAGGUCGUAUUAGCUAGUUGGUGGGGUAAAGGCUUACCAAGGCGACGAUCCGUAACUGGUCUGAGAGGAUGAUCAGUCACACUGGAACUGAGACACGGUCCAGACUCCUACGGGAGGCAGCAGUGGGGAAUAUUGGACAAUGGGCGAAAGCCUGAUCCAGCCAUGCCGCGUGAGUGAAGAAGGUCUUCGGAUUGUAAAGCACUUUAAGUUGGGAGGAAGAGCAGUAAGUUAAUACCUUGCUGUUUUGACGUUACCAACAGAAUAAGCACCGGCUAACUUCGUG